rnacentral:rRNA from 1 species
GAGUUUGAUCCUGGCUCAGAAUGAACGUUGGCGGCGUGGAUUAGGCAUGCAAGUCGAACGGGUUUAGUAGCAAUACUAAACCAGUGGCGGAAGGGUGAGUAAGGCGACGGUAACCAACCCCAUGGUCGGGUAUAGCCGCGGGAAACUGCGGGUAAUCCCCAGCGACGUGCCAGGCCGGCAUCGGCCCGGCACCAAAGCUCCGGCGCCGUGGGACGGGCCGUCGUGGUAUUAGGUAGUUGGCGGGGUAACGGCCCACCAAGCCUGCGAUGCCUACCGGGCGUGCGAGCGUGGCCCGGCACACUGGGACUGAGACACUGCCCAGACUCCUACGGGAGGCUGCAGUCGAGAAUCUUCGGCGAUGGGCGCAAGCCUGACCGAGCGACGCCGCGUGGAGGACGAAGGCCUUCGGGUUGUAAACUCCUGUCGAGGGGGAGGAAGCCGCAAGGUUGACCGAUCCCUGGAGGAAGCACGGGCUAAGUUCGUGCCAGCAGCCGCGGUAAGACGUACCGUGCGAACGUUAUUCGGAAUCACUGGGCUUAAAGCGCGUGUAGGCGGGACGGCACGUCUGUCGCUGAAAUCCCCCGGCUCAACCGGGGAACGGGCGCGGAUACGACCGUCCUGGAGGGGCGUAGGGGGACCCGGAACUUCCGGUGGAGCGGUGAAAUGCGUUGAGAUCGGAAGGAACGCCCGUGGCGAAAGCGAGGUCCUGGACGCCUACUGACGCUGAGACGCGAAAGCCAGGGGAGCGAACGGGAUUAGAUACCCCGGUAGUCCUGGCCGUAAACGAUGGGCACUGGGUAGGGGGCUCGCCGAUGGGUCCCCUGCCGCAAGGUAAACCGUGAAGUGCCCCGCCUGGGGAGUAUGUUCGC